AGCAGCCGCGGUAAUUCCAGCUCCAAUAGCGUAUAUUAAAGUUGUUGCAGUUAAAAAGCUCGUAGUUGAAUUUCGAGAUCAAAUUGUUGGUCGUGCCUCGGUACGUACUGGCAUUAUUGAUUUCUCCCUUCUGACGAUCCGCGAUGUCAUUAAUUUGGUGUCGCGGGGAAUCAGGACUGUUACUUUGAAAAAUUAGAGUGUUUAAAGCAGGCUCACGCUUGAAUACAUUAGCAUGGAAUAAUGAAAUAGGACGUUUGAUUCUAUUUUGUUGGUUUCUAGGAUCGACGUAAUGAUUAAUAGGGAUAGUUGGGGGCAUUAGUAUUCAAUUGUCAGAGGUGAAAUUCUUGGAUUUAUUGAAGGCUAACUACUGCGAAAGCAUUUGCCAAGGAUGUUUUCAUUAAUCAAGAACGAAAGUUAGGGGAUCGAAGACGAUCAGAUACCGUCGUAGUCUUAACCAUAAACUAUGCCGACUAGGGAUCGGAUGAUGCUAAUUUUUAAUGACUCAUUC
rnacentral:sRNA from 1 species